UCCCUAACACGCGAACAUUCUGUGGUUGC
rnacentral:sRNA from 1 species